ensembl:misc_RNA Metazoa_SRP Metazoan signal recognition particle RNA
GCUAGGUGUGGUGGCGGGCGCCUGUAAUCCCAGCUACUCAGGAGGCUGAGGCAGGAGAAUCGUUUGAACCCAGGAGGCAGAGGUUGCAGUGAGCCAAGAUCGCACCACUGCACUCCAGCCUGGGUGACAGAGUGAGACUCUGUCUCAA